GCCCUUGUAGUUCAAUGGAUAGAACAAGAAACUUCUAAUUUCUAAAUCUAGGUUCGAUUCCUAGCAGGGGCACCA
rnacentral:tRNA from 2 species